UCAAGCCGACAGGCGCUCCACCCGCACAAGAAUAAUCCAACUUUAGUAAUUUUAUUGAUGAAACAAUGUUAUUCAUAUUUGAUGUAUUAAUGAAUAAUCCAAAGGAUUCACUAUUCAAGGUUUUGCACUGAUACUGCGUUUGCCUUUUUCAGUUCCUGUUUUCUAGUUUUUCCCGGUUUUGACCAUUCUGCCUGCCCUGACCAUGAGACUGCCUGCUGUUCUGUACCUUGCCACACCACACUGGAAUAUUGACCCCUGCCUACUGUGACCCUGAGACUGCCUGCCGUUCUGGACCUUUUGUACCCUAUUUGGAUUACUGACCUCUGCCUACCUGUCAUUUUGCCUGCCCCUGUACUAGUAAUAAACGUUUGUUACUUUGA